GUGCUCACUUUGGCAUCACAUAUACUAAAAUUGGAACAAGACAGAGAAGAUUAGCAUGGCCCCUGUACAAGGAUGACAUACAAAUUCAUGAAGUGUUCCAUAUUUUU
ensembl:snRNA U6 U6 spliceosomal RNA